rnacentral:rRNA from 1 species
AAGACCUUGCGCUUUUGGAGCGGCCGAUGCCUGAUUAGCUUGUUGGUAAGGUAAAAGCUUACCAAGGCUUCGAUCAGUAGCUGGUCUGAGAGGACGACCAGCCACACUGGGACUGAGACACGGCCCAGACUCCUACGGGAGGCAGCAGUGGGGAAUUUUGGACAAUGGGGGCAACCCUGAUCCAGCCAUGCCGCGUGAGUGAAGAAGGCCUUCGGGUUGUAAAGCUCUUUCAGCCGGAACGAAACGGUUACGGUUAAUACCCGUGAUUACUGACGGUACCGGAAGAAGAAGCACCGGCUAACUACGCGCCAGCAGCCGCGGUAAUACGUAGGGUGCGAGCGUUAAUCGGAAUUACUGGGCGUAAAGCGUGCGCAGGUGGUUUUGUAAGUCAGAUGUGAAAGCCCCGGGCUCAACCUGGGAACU